UACGGGAGGCAGCAGUGGGGAAUAUUGCACAAUGGGCGCAAGCCUGAUGCAGCCAUGCCGCGUGUAUGAAGAAGGCCUUCGGGUUGUAAAGUACUUUCAGUCGUGAGGAAGGUGUUAAGGUUAAUAACCUUAGCAAUUGACGUUAGCGACAGAAGAAGCACCGGCUAACUCCGUGCCAGCAGCCGCGGUAAUACGGAGGGUGCGAGCGUUAAUCGGAAUUACUGGGCGUAAAGGGCACGCAGGCGGUUAAUUAAGUUGGAUGUGAAAUCCCCGGGCUUAACCUGGGAAUGGCAUUCAAGACUGGUUAGCUAGAGUCUUGUAGAGGGGGUAGAAUUCCAUGUGUAGCGGUGAAAUGCGUAGAGAUGUGGAGGAAUACCGGUGGCGAAGGCGGCCCCUGGGACAAAGACUGACGCUCAUGUGCGAAAGCUGGGGAGCAAACAGGAUUAGAUACC
rnacentral:rRNA from 1 species